AGGCCUUCUUCCUGGCUGUUUACUGAAAAUAGUCUCUUCCUGGCUGCCUUCUUCAGUUCCAGAUGUAGAACUCUCAGCUCCUUCUCCAGCACCAUGUCUGCCUGCACGAUGCCAUGAUUCCCGCCAUGAUGAUAAUAGACUGAACCUCUGAAACUGCCUCCCUGGGAUGGGUCCAGCUCCGGCAUCAGUCCUACCUUUAACAGUGAAAUGACUUUGGAAGAAUGUGGAAAAGACAAAAGCAGCAGUAGAGACUCAAUGAUGACUCAGCAAGUGUCUACUCCAGCCCUGGGAGAAAGCAGCCCAGAUUGUUCUACACUGUGGAUCCUGGAUUCUCAUUCUACUCGUAACGAGCCUGAGUCGUGACAAGCUCACUUUGUUCACUUCUGCUCCUACAGUUAAUACAGCUCAUGGUAGCAAAUCAGGA